CAAGUUACUCUCAGCUUGCCAUGUCCAAAAGGAAAUAAAACUAUGACAGUAUCCCUCCCACCACACAGUUUACACUCUGUCCUCAUCCUCAUGCGUCUGACUUAUCUCCUCCCCAAUGUGACAAUUGGCUCUUUCAGGAGCAGAGCUUGGUAUUCCAGUGGAUGCACAGUGUUCCACCAUUGUACCUUGGAUUCCUUUUGUUUUGCUGGGUACACCUGCAUGAUGCUUUAUAAAAAUUUGGAUUAGUUGGCAACAGUGAAGACAAGGAGCAUAUAGAUACGAUGGAGACUGUAUUGGUUAUUUUUCUCUCUGAGAAAAAGUAUCCAACAUUCAAAAUUAAGGAAGGAGAGGUUUUUUGCUCACAGUUUGUGGAGGUUUUAGUUCAUACUCGGCUGGCUCCAAGGCAGAGAGUCGCACAUGGCAGAGGCCAGCAGUUCAUGACAGCCAGAAGACAGCAAAAGCAACAAGGACAAAAAGGGAACAGUGUGUAGAGAAGACUCUUUGGGUCGCUUGUAUUGUAUGUCGGUCACACCCACCUCGAGGGGAGCGAAAUGCUCAUAUCCAUAAUUCAGCAUUGGAUACUGAAUCAGUCACAGAUUCUAGAAGGCUGCCCUCAUGACUGCAUGAGGUUUUGGGUGGACAUCUAGACACAAAUUAUAACAGGACCAUGACAGAAGUUUAAAUUGCAUAUAUUCAUGAUGAUUAUAACUUUUAGAUUUAAGGAUAAUAAUUGUGCACAAGAAGAGACAAGUAAUAUGGAAGAAAAGGAAGAAAGAAGAAAUACCUUGAUUUUCUUUCGAACUAAAGGAGGAGUAUUUAGCAAAAGAGAUGAAAACUAAAGCCAUCCAUAGCCUAAUAAAGUAAUGAUAUGAGCACUGAUAGAAACAGCAUUAUCUCAGCAGUUAUAAAGUAUAAGAUGUUCUUUUAUUUUAUUAACCAUUAAGAAAACAAAAAUAUUACCAGUUAAAUCAUGAAAUGGUAUUGGCUAUUAGAUGCAUCCUAUUUUCAGAGUUGCUAAAAUAGAGAAAAAAAAUCAAUAUAAUGAAGUCAACUACCACUUCUAUCUCCACUCCAAGAAUAGCCUUUGUUCAGAUGCUUCCUGGCUUUCAUGUAUGCAAUGUUCACAACAUUAUAAUCUCCAUAAAUCAACAAGCAGACAAAGAACAUGAUACAACUAUAAAGUGUAAUAAUAUGCAUAUACCAAAAUGAAACACUUACACAUUCAUUGUUCAAUAUUGAUGAAACUUGAAAACAUGCUAAGUGAAGCCAAGUAGCAAUUAGAAUAUCCCACAUGAUUCCAUGUAUAUGAACUAGAUCAAAUAGGGAAAUCCAUAAAUAAAUAAAAAAGUCUAGUCAUGAUUGGGUAGCACUUUUAGUUUGUGAACAAAUGAGAAGUGACUGCUAAUGGAUAUGGGAUGUUAUUUUUUGGAUGAUAAAACUGUUUUGGCAUGAAGUAGUAGUGAUAGUUGCAAAUUUGUACCAGGGAUCAAAUUCAUGACCUUGUGCUUGCCAGGAAUGUGAAUAUAUUGUUUUAGAUCAUUAGAUUGUACAUUUCAAAAAAUGAAUUAUAUGGUAUGCCACUUUUAUCUUUAUAAAUGUGAUAGUUAACUGACUGUGUCAAUUUAAGCAAGAAACACCCACCUAGAUUAGAUCUUCGUAGUUCUGGAUGUGGCGGAAGGGAAUUACUGAAGGCAGAAGACUCAUCCUGGGUGUGAGUGACACUAACCAAUAGGCUUUGCUGCCUGAAUGGAGUAAGAGGGAUAUAAAAAAGGAAGUCUGGUUUCUGUUUCUUCAGAGCAGCUUUGGUCUUCAUCCUCACUUUCAACAUCAGCUCCUGGCUUCCAGCAUAGACUCUUCAGCCUUCCAUCACAGACCCUUCAGCCUCCUGGUAUGGAUUUGCAUGGGACACUACAGUGAGCUCCAGAUCUUUGACUGGAGCCUUUAGAUCUUCAGUGUAAAGAAAGUCCUUUUGCACUCCUCCAUACCUGACCCUGUGGGCAGCCAUUCUCAUAAGAUAGUCUUGUAAAUUCUUACAUAUUUCUAUAUCUUGCAUUUAAUCUGUUUCCCUUAUCCAUCAGUAAGCACUGAUGGAUACAAUAAACAUUCAGUUUUUUUAAAUUAACAAUUUGAAAUCUGGUUAAAUUUCACAGGGCAUGAAAGAAUUAUUGUCAGUUUUUGAGACAGUUAUAUGAUUGUGGUGAUGGUCUUUCAACAGAUCUAUGAAGAUAUCUCUCAAAACUUAGUCUUUUUUUUUUCCAGAAAAAUUAAUAGCAAGUUCACAUUGCUAAGGUGAUACCCUGAUGCAGGGCUUCCUCACAUGGACAUGGUGGCCAAGGACUCUAAUCUCACACUAAUGUUACGAUCUUAUGAAUAUUUCUUAGCGUGUACCAAGUCUCUAUUUCCUCUUCUGUAAAGCAGAGACUUAUAAGGAUUGCACACGUCAAGGACAGUUGUGAAAGCCAGGAAGCUUCUGAGCAAAGGCUAUUCUUGGAGUGGAGAUAGAAGUGGUAAUUGACUUCAUUAUAUUGAUUUUUUUUUUGUUUUCAAGUUUCAUCAAUAUUGAACAAUGAAUGUGUAAGUGUUUCAUUUUGGUAUAUGCAUAUUAUUACACUUUAUAGUUGUAUCACGUUCUUUGUCUGCUUGUUGACUUAUGGAGAUUAUAAUGUUGUGAACAUUGUAUACGUUUCCUGUGGAUGUAUGUUCUCAAUUAUCUUGAUAAUAUGCAUGGAAAUGGAAUUGCAGGGUUGUACAGUGACUUUAUAUUCAACUUUCUGAGGAACUGCUAGACUGUUUUCCACAGUGGUGUGCCACUUUAUAUUCUCAACAGCAAUGUACGAGGGUUCCAACUUCUCCACAUCCUCACCAAUACUUGUUAUUGCGUGUUUGUUGUCAUUAUAGUCAUCCUAGGGAGUGUGGAGUAGUCUUAUUGUGGUUCCAUUAAUUUUUAAAGUAUCAGUUUGUAAGCCUGCAAAAUGUUUAUAAUUGAUCCUUAUGACUUGAUCUCUGAAAAAUUGGCAAAUUGUCUUUAUAGCCAUAUGUGUACACAUCCGCUUCCAUUAAAUCCCCAGGGCUCAAUCUGAUGGAUUUUAACAACACUCCUGUGGAGUAGGUUGAUAGGAAAAUCAUCAUCUCCAACAGCCAUAAGCUGAGAGAGGCUGCCAGCCAAGGAGUAAAUCAUCCUAUUCACAGUUCAGUGCUUUAUUACUAGGUCACUCUGCCCACGGAUAAGGAAUGGGAGAAAUGAGAGACACGGAAGAGACUUGCUGAAUUGUACACUCCAUUAGAAUAUCUAAAUCUAUGGCAGAACUUGCACCUUCAAUAUGUCUUUUUAUGAUUUGUCCCAUUCACUUUUAAAGUCAGGAAGGUGACAAUAAAAAGACUCUGUAUCAUGCAAAAUGACACAUUUUAUUUUUCAUAUUUGUUCCCCAAAGAAGUCGCAUUGCAAAGAAAUAACAUCGUUCUGAAAGCCAAAGCACUUCCAUCAUUUAUGAGCUCUCUGCAGCAGUGGCAGAAAAGCAGAUAUUUCAGUUCUCAAAAUUCAAGACACAAUUUAGCUUUUAUAGAGCCUUGUUAUAAAUCGUGUAUGUACAUGUGUAUACAGAUCUGUUUUAUAUUAGACACUGCAGGCAUAAGAAAUUGUUAUGUGCUGCUGCUUGUCAAUCAGAAUAAGACUGUGAUUUUUUUUUGAUAAAACAAAUGGCAGAAGCAAAAGAGUGACAAAAUACCAUCCCCUUCCCUUCCAAAAAAGACCCAAACUCUAAUCCUUCAAAUAUCUAUUGUAUAAUUUAUCCAGCCCAUACCCUCUCUAGAAAAAAGAAAGGAAGUAAAAGGAGAUAAGUUAAAUUAUAUCCUUUAAGUGUGUAUUGUAUCAGAAAGAUGCUACUUUUUUCCCAAAUAAACUCAUGAAAAUGUUUUCAUGUCUUUAUUAUGAUUGAGCUUCUAGAAUGAAUUGACUUAUUUAUAUACUAAUUGGAUGAAUUAACUCACAAAUACAUAUUGAGCGAGCAUCUUUUAUCUGUAAGGCAAAGGAUUUCUCCUGUUGGACUAGCUAUUGCCAGCAUGGAAAACUUCCUUGCUCUUUGAGAAGAUCUGCCUCAGGUGACAGCAUCAUUCAAUCUCUUGCCUACUUACUGUUUGUUUCAAAGUCCCUUCCUAGUUUAUAAACACUUUCUCUAAAAUUGAAAACCUCCCUUUUAUACCCUGAGCUCAGAUAAUCUUAUUUUUGUCUUACUUACUUUCAAAAUAACUUAUGAUCUAACAAGUUAUGUAACUUACUUGUUGAUGACAUUUAUUAUUUGUUUUUCCACUACAAUGUAAGAUUUCUAAGGGCAAAAAUUUUGUCUGAUUUCUUCCUCUUCCCUACUGUAUUACCUUCAUGGCCUGGACAGCCUUGAACAUAUAGCAGUUUUGUGACUUAUAUUUGUUAAAUAAAUGAAUGUAAGA